AUGAACGCUGGCGGCGUGCCUAACACAUGCAGGUCGCACGGAGUCCAGCCUUUAAGACCUUCGGGUCAAAGGGGGGAAGACUGAGUGGCGGACGGGUGAGUAACACGUGGGCAACCUGGCUCAUAGAGGGGGAUAACAGAGAGAAAUUUCUGCUAAUACCGCAUAAGCACACACUGCCGCAUGGCAGAGGGUGAAAAGAGAAUCGCUAUGAGAUGGACCCGCGUCUGAUUAGCCAGUUGGCAGGGUAAGAGCCUACCAAAGCGACGAUCAGUAGCCGAUCUGAGAGGAUGAACGGCCACAUUGGGACUGAGACACGGCCCAAACUCCUACGGGAGGCAGCAGUGGGGGAUAUUGCACAAUGGGGGGAACCCUGAUGCAGCGACGCCGCGUGAGUGAAGAAGUAUUUCGGUAUGUAAAGCUCUAUCAGCAGGGAAGAUAAUGACAGUACCUGAAGAAGAAGCCCCGGCUAACUACGUG
rnacentral:rRNA from 1 species